rnacentral:lncRNA from 1 species
UGGUAAUUGAAAAAGUAUUAUUUUUAAAAUUAUAUGAAACCGUUAACUUUGAAUUGAAAUAUUUUAAAUAAAUUUACUUUAAAAGCUUAUAUUACUAAAAGAAUUAAGAUAUACCAAACUGGAUGGGGACCACCGGCUGAAAGAAUAAACCGUGAAUUAUGGUCUGAGCGGUUCAAUUUUAAUUCGGUUCGGUUAUGAAUUGGUGAGGCGGAAUAAGAGAGGGGCUUUAUCCUAAAGCGCGGAAAACAGAGUCUAAUUCAACUAAUUAAAUAAUGUGUGUUAGAUUUGUUUCUUGUUUCUUGUUUCUUGUUUCUUGAUCAGGUGGGUUUGAGAUAUAUAUGUAUAGAUCUUCUCUCUCUCUAUAUAUAUAUGAUGAAGAUGAAGAAGUAGAAGAAGAAGACGAAGAGGCAAGUAGUUUUGGUUGAAGAAGUAGAAGCAGAAGAUGAGGAGGGAUAUGAUGCUUCAGCCUUCAGUCAUGAAGAAUGAAAAAAAGCAGCAGCAGCCUUCUUCUUCAUCUUCUUCUUCUACUUGCUCCACCAAAGCUAGAAAACCAGGGGAAAGUGACGACUGCAAAGAUGGUGUUGGGGUUAAGGUAAUGGAUUACUUUUCUAGCUAUUCAAUUUAUAUUAUUUUCCACCCUGCAGCUUCAUGCAGAAGAAGGGUUUUGUUUUUCUUGGCCUUAUAAUGUGAUUCUUCCGAUCAAGAAAUGCAACGAAU